rnacentral:rRNA from 1 species
ACUCCUACGGGAGGCAGCAGUGGGGAAUAUUGGACAAUGGGGGGAACCCUGAUCCAGCCAUGCCGCGUGUGUGAAGAAGGCCUUUUGGUUGUAAAGCACUUUAAGCGAGGAGGAGGCUUACCUGGUUAAUACCCGGGAUAAGUGGACGUUACUCGCAGAAUAAGCACCGGCUAACUCUGUGCCAGCAGCCGCGGUAAUACAGAGGGUGCAAGCGUUAAUCGGAUUUACUGGGCGUAAAGCGCGCGUAGGUGGCUAAUUAAGUCAAAUGUGAAAUCCCCCG